rnacentral:lncRNA from 1 species
CUGAUUUCUUUUACUGUCUAAGAACUGAAAUAAUACUCAUAUCUUCAAAGAAGAAGGAAAAGUCAUUUUUUGUCUUUCACUGAAAUUUAAAAAUAGGAAUUGAGAUUUUUGUUGAACUUUCUUACAUAGAAAGAAGAAGGUGAUGUUCAGAAAGUAAUAUUGCAUUUUGAAAUUGAUGUACAUUAAGAAACAAUAAUGUACCCAAAUCAUAAUUAAUAGCAAUCUCCAGGUUUUGUAAGACUGAUAGAAGAAAUCCAGCAAGAAAGGACUGCUAAAAUAUGGAUGCUUAUUUUAACAGUAUUAUUUCUUCUUCACUGAGAAUUCUUAAUCUUUUUGAUGCUGAAAAUUCCCCCUAAGCAUUAACACAGAUGGAGUUUAUAUAAUGCUGUAGGAUCUCUUCAUUUAUAUAGAAUUUACCUUUCAAAUGUAUCAAAUAAACAGGGCCAGUUUUUGUUAAUUGGCCAUCUUAUUGACUAAACUCAAUGAAUUAAACAUUCAUUUCACUGUCACUUUAAAAAGAUUACCUAUGGUAUUCAUGAUCUCUGAGACUCAGUGAUCCUUACUGAAAUCCAAUGCUUGAAAACAAAAAUGUCUGUCUUUAAGGAGCACAGGAAUCUUAUACAAAGCUAAUUCAUUUUAGUUCAUUUUUACUCACUUAUUCAACAGACACUUUUAGAAUACUUACUGAGUUCUGAUGGAGACAACUAUGAACCAAUUAGACCUGUUAGUUCUUUUGUCCUAGGUUUUAUGGCUAGAGGUGGUAGGUGACUUUCUUGUUACAGUAAACUUAGGGCAAGGCUAGAAGUUUAUAUAAGGGUAUGGGGGCCAUGGGAUCCCUAACUCAUAAAGUGGUCAGUGUGGGAACAGAGAACCAUAGACAGAGCUUCCCAAAGAAAAUGAACAAAGCAACUGGAAGGGGUGAUGGACAGAGAUUGAUGCAAGCAGUGGGACCAACAAGAGGAAAUGGUUGGCCUGUGUGGAAGAAACACAGGGGACACCUGUCCCAGAGGCUAUGAUUCUGCCCAUCAGCAGGAACAGGAGCCUUCUAAAGAGGGGAUUCAAAGGCUACAUUCCAUGUGUUCUCGGUUGGAGUUGUAAUUUACGUAUUAAUUUGGGAGAUAGUCAUCUCUGAGAUCUUCUGGUGCCAUCCCCAAAGUCUGAAUUACUUUGUUUUUAGGGUGGGUGUGUGCUCAAGAACAGAUAAAUCUGUCUAAAAUGGGGAAGAAAGGUCUGGUUUUCCCCAAUAUUAGGGGGGAUAUGUUAGGGAGAAGCAGAGAUAGAGGAAGAGAAAGAAACAUAUCCAUUUCAAAAAUAAGUUGCAGUGGCAGAGCAUCAAGGGCUACAUUCAAAGCAUAAUGUGGACCACUGUUACAGGGGAUCAAGACCACAGGAAGGGAAGCAUUUUAGUGAUAAGGUUGGACUAUAACUAAAGCAAUUGUGUUGACAAACUAUGCAAACUUUAAGUGAUAUUCAUAAUCUAAAUUGAUAGGAGAUAAUAAUAUUUAAUGAUGUUUUGGUUUGGGGUUGGAAUGACCCCCAAAGACUCAUGUGUUUAAGGCAUGAAUGCAGCAACGUUCAGAAGUAGAACUUUGGAGGAGUCAUUGGAUCAUGAAGGUGCUGCUGACUUCAUCAGAGGAUCUAUCCAUUGGUGUAUUAAUAAUUGUAUGACAUUAGAGGGAAGUGAUGGAAACCAUAGGAGAUGGGGCCUAGUUGGAAGAAGUAGGUCUCUGG